rnacentral:rRNA from 1 species
GCGGCGUGCCUAAUACAUGCAAGUCGAGCGAUGAGGCUCCUUCGGGAGUACAUCAGCGGCGAACGGGUGAGUAACACGUGGGUGACUUGCCCCGAAGAUGGGGAUAACCUCUGGAAACGGGGGCUAAUACCCAAUGUGCUCGGUGAUUCGGUUCAUCGAGUAAAGCUCCGGCGCUUCGGGAGAGGCCUGCGGCCCAUCAGCUAGUUGGUAGGGUAACGGCCUACCAAGGCAGAGACGGGUAGGGGGCGUGAGAGCGCGGACCCCCACACUGGCACUGAGAUACGGGCCAGACUCCUACGGGAGGCAGCAGUAAGGGAUAUUGCGCAAUGGACGAAAGUCAGACGCAGCGACGCCGCGUGGGCGAUGAAGGCCUUCGGGUUGUAAAGCCCUUUUAUGGGGGAAGAGAAAAAGGACGGUACCCCAGGAAUAAGUCCCGGCUAACUACGUGCCAGCAGCCGCGGUAAAACGUAGGGGACAAGCGUUAUCCGGAUUCACUGGGCGUAAAGAGCGUUGAGGCGGUUCCGUAAGUUGGGCGUGAAAGCUCCGGGCUUAACUCGGAGAUGUCGUUCAAUACUGCGGGGCUUGAGGACAGCAGAGGAAGGUGGAAUUCCCGGUGUAGUGGUGAAAUGCGUAGAUAUCGGGAGGAACACCCGUGGCGAAGGCGGCCUUCUGGGCUGUUCCUGACGCUGAAGGCGAAAGCUAGGGGAGCGAACGGGAUUAGAUACCCCGGUAGUCCUAGCUGUAAACGAUGGAUGCUGGGUGUGGGGGGUGUACAUUCCCUCUGUGCCGAAGCAAACGCGUUAAGCAUCCCGCCUGGGGACUACGGACGCAAGGCUNAAACUCAAACGAAUUGACGGGGGCCCGCACAAGCAGCGGAGCGUGUGGUU